GACACGGACUGUUGUGAUGGCACCGAGGAUGAAUUCGUGGCCCUCCUGAUCUUCGCCUUACGGAUUUGAAGCCACUCUCAAGACUACGCCAGCCAGGCAGCUCGUCGAAAUGGGUGUCCCGCAGCUCGCCGCCGCCCGUUAAGGUGAGUCUUGCUGGAGCUUGUUGCCACUGGUCGGGUUUUGCUUCCCAUUCUUCUGCAUAUAAUUAUCAUCGUGGAGUA